UCUUCCGAUCUUAUUAUGAAACUGUAAUAACGAAGAAUGUUUGGGAUACAUUCGUUAAAAAUCUUAAUAAAAUGAAUGCGAAAAUAUACAAAGAUUGUCCGAUAAUAUAUUUAAAAUAUUUUCACGAAUGUUUUGAAUGAUUUUCUUUUAGAUAAUUUUCAGCAGAGUUUCCCCAAAAUAUGCCGCUAACCACAAAAGUGAUCAGAUAUGUCAGCUUUACGGUUAGUUCAACCGGAUUCUCAAUGUUCGGUUCUUUUGGUUUUUUUUUUUUUUUUUUUUUAACCAGCGGCGAACGGUCAGCAGUUGUCUGGAAGUUUGGCCUCGGGGUUUUAUCAUUCUUUUCGUGGUUACAUAACCCGGAUAUUUCGACGAAAAGUGACCAGUUCUAAAGACUUUAUAAUGUAUUUUCUCGUUCCGCACCGUUGACAUGACGAACAUCACGACAUUUCUAAUAUUAUCUAAUGUUUGCUGGGUAGUCAUUUCGUUUCGAUAUCUCGAAAACUUAUAUAAAGCUAUCAGGCAGUAACCUUUUUUUCGAAAAGAUAAAUUAAGUAUUUGUAGUAAUCUAACUAGGC
rnacentral:lncRNA from 1 species